AACCUUUAGCCAAACAAAUAUUAAAGGCAACGCCUGCCCAGUGAACAAUUAAACGGCCGCGGUACCCUAACCGUGCAAAGGUAGCAUAAUCAUUUGUCUACUAAUUAUAGACCUGUAUGAAAGGCAAAAUGAGGGUUUAACUGUCUCUUAUAAUUAAUCAAUUAAACUGAUCUUCUAGUAAAAAAGCUAGAAUACCCCCAUAAGACCAGAAGACCCUGUGAAGCUUUAAUUAAACUAUUAAACCCAAUAAUAACUAAUUUAGGUUGGGGCGACCUUGGAAACAAAAAGAACUUCCAAAACAACUUUUACGUACCACCAGGCCUACAAGCCACUAAAUUGACCCAGCAUAGCUGACAAACGGACUAAGUUACUCCAGGGAUAACAGCGCAAUCUUCUUCAAGAGCCCAUAUCAAAAAGAAGGUUUACGACCUCGAUGUUGGAUCAGGACAUCCUAAUGGUGCAACCGCUAUUAAGGGUUCGUUUGUUCAACGAUUAAUAGUCCC
rnacentral:rRNA from 1 species